rnacentral:rRNA from 1 species
GGGUUGUGAGGUUAAGCGACUAAGCGUACACGGUGGAUGCCCUGGCAGUCAGAGGCGAUGAAGGACGUGCUAAUCUGCGAAAAGCGUCGGUAAGGUGAUAUGAACCGUUAUAACCGGCGAUGUCCGAAUGGGGAAACCCAGUGCAAUUCGUUGCACUAUCGUUAACUGAAUACAUAGGUUAACGAGGCGAACCGGGGGAACUGAAACAUCUAAGUACCCCGAGGAAAAGAAAUCAACCGAGAUUCCCCCAGUAGCGGCGAGCGAACGGGGAGCAGCCCAGAGUCUGAAUCAGCUUGUGUGUUAGUGGAACGGUCUGGAAAGUCCGACGGUACAGGGUGAUAGUCCCGUACACCAAAAUGCACAGGCUGUGAACUCGAAGAGUAGGGCGGGACACGUGGUAUCCUGUCUGAAUAUGGGGGGACCAUCCUCCAAGGCUAAAUACUCCUGACUGACCGAUAGUGAACCAGUACCGUGAGGGAAAGGCGAAAAGAACCCCGGCGAGGGGAGUGAAAAAGAACCUGAAACCGUGUACGUACAAGCAGUGGGAGCACCUUCGGGUGUGACUGCGUACCUUUUGUAUAAUGGGUCAGCGACUUAUAUUCUGUAGCAAGGUUAACCGUAUAGGGGAGCCGCAGGGAAACCGAGUCUUAACUGGGCGUUAAGUUGCAGGGUAUAGACCCGAAACCCGGUGAUCUAGCCAUGGGCAGGUUGAAGGUUGGGUAACACUAACUGGAGGACCGAACCGACUAAUGUUGAAAAAUUAGCGGAUGACUUGUGGCUGGGGGUGAAAGGCCAAUCAAACCGGGAGAUAGCUGGUUCUCCCCGAAAGCUAUUUAGGUAGCGCCUCGUGAAUUCAUCUUCGGGGGUAGAGCACUGUUUCGGCUAGGGGGUCAUCCCGACUUACCAACCCGAUGCAAACUACGAAUACCGAAGAAUGUUAUCACGGGAGACACACGGCGGGUGCUAACGUCCGUCGUGAAGAGGGAAACAACCCAGACCGCCAGCUAAGGUCCCAAAGUCAUGGUUAAGUGGGAAACGAUGUGGGAAGGCACAGACAGCCAGGAUGUUGGCUUAGAAGCAGCCAUCAUUUAAAGAAAGCGUAAUAGCUCACUGGUCGAGUCGGCCUGCGCGGAAGAUGUAACGGGGCUAAACCAUGCACCGAAGCUGCGGCAGCGACACUAUGUGUUGUUGGGUAGGGGAGCGUUCUGUAAGCCUGCGAAGGUGACCUGUGAGGGUUGCUGGAGGUAUCAGAAGUGCGAAUGCUGACAUAAGUAACGAUAAAGCGGGUGAAAAGCCCGCUCGCCGGAAGACCAAGGGUUCCUGUCCAACGUUAAUCGGGGCAGGGUGAGUCGACCCCUAAGGCGAGGCCGAAAGGCGUAGUCGAUGGGAAACAGGUUAAUAUUCCUGUACUUGGUGUUACUGCGAAGGGGGGACGGAGAAGGCUAUGUUAGCCGGGCGACGGUUGUCCCGGUUUAAGCAUGUAGGCUGGUUGUCCAGGCAAAUCCGGAUAAUCAAGGCUGAGGUGUGAUGACGAGGCACUACGGUGCUGAAGUAACAAAUGCCCUGCUUCCAGGAAAAGCCUCUAAGCAUCAGGUAACAUCAAAUCGUACCCCAAACCGACACAGGUGGUCAGGUAGAGAAUACCAAGGCGCUUGAGAGAACUCGGGUGAAGGAACUAGGCAAAAUGGUGCCGUAACUUCGGGAGAAGGCACGCUGGUGUGUAGGUGAAGUCCCUGCGGAUGGAGCUGAGACCAGUCGAAGAUACCAGCUGGCUGCAACUGUUUAUUAAAAACACAGCACUGUGCAAACACGAAAGUGGACGUAUACGGUGUGACGCCUGCCCGGUGCCGGAAGGUUAAUUGAUGGGGUUAUCCGUAAGGAGAAGCUCUUGAUCGAAGCCCCGGUAAACGGCGGCCGUAACUAUAACGGUCCUAAGGUAGCGAAAUUCCUUGUCGGGUAAGUUCCGACCUGCACGAAUGGCGUAAUGAUGGCCAGGCUGUCUCCACCCGAGACUCAGUGAAAUUGAACUCGCUGUGAAGAUGCAGUGUACCCGCGGCAAGACGGAAAGACCCCGUGAACCUUUACUAUAGCUUGACACUGAACAUUGAGCCUUGAUGUGUAGGAUAGGUGGGAGGCUUUGAAGCGUGGACGCCAGUCUGCGUGGAGCCAACCUUGAAAUACCACCCUUUAAUGUUUGAUGUUCUAACGUUGGCCCCU